rnacentral:rRNA from 1 species
UACGAAGGGUGCAAGCGUUACUCGGAAUUACUGGGCGUAAAGCGUGCGUAGGUGGUUCGUUAAGUCUGAUGUGAAAGCCCUGGGCUCAACCUGGGAAUGGCAUUGGAAACUGGCGACCUAGAGUGCGGUAGAGGGUAGUGGAAUUCCCGGUGUAGCAGUGAAAUGCGUAGAGAUCGGGAGGAACAUCCGUGGCGAAGGCGACUACCUGGACCAGCACUGACACUGAGGCACGAAAGCGUGGGUAGCAAACAGG